rfam:Rhodospirillum photometricum DSM 122 draft genome sequence
GUCGGAGCUCCUUCGGGGGUGACGGCGUACCUUUUGUAUAAUGGGUCAGCGACUUAAUCUGGCGAGCAAGCUUAAGCCGAUAGGUGGAGGCGCAGCGAAAGCGAGUCUUAAGAGGGCGUCGAGUUCGUCGGAUUAGACCCGAAACCGGGUGAUCUAGCCAUGGGCAGGUUGAAGGUGGAGUAACACCCACUGGAGGACCGAACCCACGUCUGUUGAAAAAGACGGGGAUGACCUGUGGCUAGGGGUGAAAGGCCAAUCAAACUCGGAAAUAGCUGGUAAUCACCGGAGCGGGCUUUCUUAAGAGGGUUUUUUGACAGACGGCUUUGAAGGCCUGGCGGCGACCGAC